UACGUAGGGGGCUAGCGUUGUUCGGAUUUACUGGGCGUAAAGCGCACGUAGGCGGAUCGAUCAGUCAGGGGUGAAAUCCCAGGGCUCAACCCUGGAACUGCCUUUGAUACUGUCGAUCUGGAGUAUGGAAGAGGUGAGUGGAAUUCCGAGUGUAGAGGUGAAAUUCGUAGAUAUUCGGAGGAACACCAGUGGCGAAGGCGGCUCACUGGUCCAUUACUGACGCUGAGGUGCGAAAGCGUGGGGAGCAAACAGG
rnacentral:rRNA from 1 species